rnacentral:rRNA from 1 species
GACAGAGGAUGCAAGCGUUAUCCGGAAUGAUUGGGCGUAAAGCGUCUGUAGGUGGCUUUUUAAGUUCGCCGUCAAAUCCCAGGGCUCAACCCUGGACAGGUGGUGGAAACUACCAAGCUAGAGUACGGUAGGGGCAGAGGGAAUUUCCGGUGGAGCGAUGAAAUGCGUAGAGAUCGGAAGGAACACCCAAGGCGAAAGCACUCUGCUGGGCCGGCACUGACACUGAGAGACGAAAGCUAGGGGAGCAAAUGGG